rnacentral:rRNA from 1 species
UACGUAGGGGGCAAGCGUUGUCCGGAAUCAUUGGGCGUAAAGAGCGUGUAGGCGGCCCGAUAAGUCCGGUGUGAAAGUCAAAGGCUCAACCUUUGAAUGCCGCUGGAAACUGUCUGGCUAGAGUCCGGGAGGGGCGAGUGGAAUUCCUGGUGUAGCGGUGAAAUGCGCAGCUAUCAGGAGGAACACCAAUGGCGAAGGCAGCUCGCUGGAACGGUACUGACGCUGAGGCGCGAAAGCGUGGGGAGCGAACAGG